rnacentral:tRNA from 1 species
GUUUAUAUAUAGCUCAGUUGGUAGAGCAGGAGACUCUUAAUCUCAGGGUCCUGGGUUCGAGCCCUGGGUUGGCCG